rnacentral:rRNA from 1 species
GAUGAACGCUGGCGGCGUGCCUAAUACAUGCAAGUCGAACGCUUCUUUUUCCACCGGAGCUUGCUCCACCGGAAAAAGAGGAGUGGCGAACGGGUGAGUAACACGUGGGUAACCUGCCCAUCAGAAGGGGAUAACACUUGGAAACAGGUGCUAAUACCGUAUAACAAUCAAAACCGCAUGGUUUUGAUUUGAAAGGCGCUUUCGGGUGUCGCUGAUGGAUGGACCCGCGGUGCAUUAGCUAGUUGGUGAGGUAACGGCUCACCAAGGCCACGAUGCAUAGCCGACCUGAGAGGGUGAUCGGCCACAUUGGGAAUGAGACACGGCCCAAACUCCUACGGGAGGCAGCAGUAGGGAAUCUUCGGCAAUGGACGAAAGUCUGACCGAGCAACGCCGCGUGAGUGAAGAAGGUUUUCGGAUCGUAAAACUCUGUUGUUAGAGAAGAACAAGGAUGAGAGUAACUGUUCAUCCCUUGACGGUAUCUAACCAGAAAGCCACGGCUAACUACGUGCCAGCCGCCGCAGUAA